rnacentral:rRNA from 1 species
UACGUAGGGUGCAAGCGUUGUCCGGAAUUAUUGGGCGUAAAGAGCUCGUAGGCGGUCUGUCGCGUCGGCUGUGAAAUCCCGAGGCUCAACCUCGGGUCUGCAGUCGAUACGGGCAAACUAGAGUAUUGCAGGGGAGACUGGAAUUCCUGGUGUAGCGGUGAAAAUGCGCAGAUAUCAGGAGGAACACCGGUGGCGAAGGCGGUUCUCUGGGCAUUACCUGACGCUGAGGAGCGAAAGUGUGGGGGAGCGAACAGG